UGUUCCUACGGGACGCAGCAGUGGGGAAUAUUGCACAAUGGGGGAAACCCUGAUGCAGCGACGCCGCGUGAGUGAAGAAGUAAUUCGUUACGUAAAGCUCUAUCAGCAGGGAAGAAACACUGACCUUACGGUCAGCAGACGGUACCUGAGUAAGAAGCCCCGGCUAACUACGUGCCAGCAGCCGCGGUAAUACGUAGGGGGCAAGCGUUAUCCGGAUUUACUGGGUGUAAAGGGAGCGUAGGUGGCAGGGCAAGUCAGAUGUGAAAACCCGGGGCUCAACUCCGGGAGUGCAUUUGAAACUGUCC
rnacentral:rRNA from 1 species